rnacentral:rRNA from 1 species
CCCUAUGGGGUGCAGCAGGCACAGUCUAUUCCGUGGUGCGCCACAUGGGAGAAAACACCGACCUUGCCGGACUUGCACUGGUUGGCGCUAUGGGCGACCGGCAGGGGAUGAUUGGAGCCAACCGGACUAUUUUAGAGGAAGCUGUUGCAUGCGGUGCAGUUGAGGUCAGAGCAGGCCUGAAGAUGUCCAUGGAUGGCCCGGCUGAAGCUGCGUUCUCAGAGAGCAUUGAGCCGCUUUUGGAUUUUGCUGGCAACCGGGAACUGGCUGGCAAGUUUUUGGCGAAUCUGAAGAUCGAAGGAAAUGUUGAGAGCCUGAAAAGAGACGAUCUGACGAGGCUAUGCACUGCCAUUACUCUGAAAUUGCUCAUGCAGGGAAGCUUUGCAGCCGAUUCGGUCAUUGGCGGGGGGGC